UGAGCUAGGUACAUUUCUAUCCUUCAAACUAGCAAGGUGCUUUUUGUUUGAUUAUUUAUUUUAGGUUCUAGAAGGGUACAAGCCAGUCCAAUUACAUUGUCGUUUCGAAUUGUGGGUAGUGGCAUCCUAGAGAAAACUUAGCAGUGAUUGUUUACAGGUAUUACAUAAUAAAAUCUUUUUCCCAUUUUAAAGUCAGUAUAUGCUCUCAUAUGGUUGCAAUGAUAAAUUCUAAACAUAGUACUCAUGGUCAUCUUUCUCUUCAUUCUGCAUAUAUGACAGGGAUGGGCUUGCAUUGAGCAAGAUUGUAGAGAGUGACAACUAUAUUCAUGAUAUGAAGAAUAGGGCAAUUAAUCGAAUUGACUUGUGGAGAGUGUCAUUCUAGACAUCGUUGUGUAUAUGGAAUAUAACCGACUACAAUAGUAAAAAACAGGUAUCUAAAAACAAAUUUGAAAUUAUGUCUGAUCAAAUUUUUGGUUUGUUUAUAUUUGUUUGUGUCAUCUCAUUUUGUAAAUUUGUGUUUAGGUUUGGGAUUUCGAUAAGUGAAAAAACAUUGUUGUGAAGGUGGGAAUGAUUUGAUUGUGCCUUAAAAAAAAGGCUUUAACUUAAAACAUUCACAACUUUAUAAUUAUGCAAAUAAUAACUUUAUAUGUUAGAUGAUGUCUGAUUUUACGAUGAUGGUAUAUAUUUGUAGGUCAUUUACUAGCUUAAUGGGAGACUGGAAUGUUUAUAGCGUGGCUGGCAACUUGAAGGCAUGGGAAAAUGUGUCAAGAUAACUCAAGUAUGUUAUGCUUCACAUCAGUUUUUGAAUUUUUCAUCUUUGUCCAUUUCAUUCUUUGGAAAUCCACAUUAAAACUCAAGACCUCCACAAACUUGAUAAUGUCAGUAGUUAAUAAAAGUGCAGAAGAAGACAAUAAAAUAUACUUGGAAUGUGGAUUUUCGAAAAUAAUUAAAAUUUUCUGAUCUUCUUGCGGUGCGUCUCAGGUUCAGGAAAAAUGGGGGCAGAGAUUCUCAAAACUAUGGCCAGUCUUUGCAGAAGAAAGCUACACUGGAAAAAGAUUCACGACCUCUGCUAUUUAAGUUUAAUGAGGUGUUUAUCCAUCAUAGCUUUUUAUUAAGAUAUACUUGUAUUUCCUAGAUGUGAUAUGAAUAUUAGGUGUAAAUGAAUGGGUUGAGAGUCACAUUUAUUCUUCGAAAGAUAAAACUAAAAAUUCAUGCAAUGCAUGGUUUAAUUUACUUCGAUUACAAUGUAUUAUUUCUAAAUUAUAUUUUGGUUGCUCAUUUAUUUCUAUGGAAGGGUUUUACAAAUGCAGUGAAAAGGUCGGUUCAAGUUCGUGAUUUUCUGUUGUGAGAAGUCACACUUAUCAUAAGAAACACACAGGCAAUUCUUUGAAGUUGGAACCAACUUGCCAGUUGUCUUUGAAGUCGAUGAUUUGGAGUCACUACUUAUGGAUGUAUUGUUGCUAUGGCAAGUGAAGGUGAGAACUCUGUAAGCGAAGACAUUGGAAGAUGCAUACUGUUAGGAGCUUUCACAAACAUUAAAUGUUGUAAAAUCAUAUUUACUGAUGACAUUUAAUUUCUUUAGACAUUGUUAAUUUUAAAUAAAAUUGUAUUUUUUUUUUAAUGGAACCACCAUUAGACUUGCAGAGUAUGUUGGUUAAUAUGACUAAUGGUAGAUUUUGGUUUUGGCAAUCC
rnacentral:lncRNA from 1 species